GCUAGCGGCAGGCUUAAUACAUGCAAGUCGUACGGGAUCCGAGGUAGCAAUACUUUGGUGAGAGUGGCGCACGGGUGCGUAACACGUAUGCAACCUACCUAUAACCGGGACACAACCCACCGAAAGGUGAGCUAAUAUCCCAUAACACUGCGAGAUGGCAUCAUUUUGCAGUUAAAACUCCGGUGGUUACAGAUGGGCAUGCGCGACAUUAGCUAGUUGGUGAGGUAACGGCCCACCAGGGCUACGAUGUCUAGGGGUUCUGAGAGGAUUAUCCCCCACACUGGUACUGAGACACGGACCAGACUCCUACGGGAGGCAGCAGUAAGGAAUAUUGGUCAAUGGGCGCAAGCCUGAACCAGCCAUGCCGCGUGAAGGAUGACGGCCCUAUGGGUUGUAAACUUCUUUUGUACGGGAAAAAACCACAGGUCGAGUAUCUGUGCUGAUGGUACCGUAAGAAUAAGCAUCGGCUAACUCCGUGCCAGCAGCCGCGGUAAUACGGAGGAUGCAAGCGUUAUCCGGAUUCAUUGGGUUUAAAGGGUGCGCAGGCGGAGUGAUAAGUCAGUGGUGAAAGCCUACAGCUUAACUGUAGAACUGCCAUUGAUACUGUCAUUCUUGAGUAUUGUUGAGGUAGGCGGAAUGUGUCAUGUAGCGGUGAAAUGCUUAGAUAUGACACAGAACACCGAUCGCGAAGGCAGCUUACCAAGCAAUAACUGACGCUCAUGCACGAAAGCGUGGGGAUCAAACAGGAUUAGAUACCCUGGUAGUCCACGCCGUAAACGAUGAUCACUCGAUGUUGGCGAUACACAGUCAGCGUCUUA
rnacentral:rRNA from 1 species